GAUGAACGCUAGCGGCAGGCCUAACACAUGCAAGUCGAGGGAGAAGCCCUUCGGGGCAGAAACCGGCGCACGGGUGCGUAACGCGUAUGCAACCUACCUUUCACAGGGGGAUAGCCCGAAGAAAUUUGGAUUAAUACCCCAUAAUAUUAUUGGAUGGCAUCAUUUGAUAAUUAAAAUUACGAUGGCGAAAGAUGGGCAUGCGUCCUAUUAGCUAGUUGGAGUGGUAACGGCACCCCAAGGCUACGAUAGGUAGGGGUCCUGAGAGGGAGAUCCCCCACACUGGUACUGAGACAGGGACCAGACUCCUACGGGAGGCAGCAGUGAGGAAUAUUGGUCAAUGGUCGGAAGACUGAACCAGCCAUGCCGCGUGCAGGAAGAAUGCCUUAUGGGUUGUAAACCGCUUUUAUAUGGGAAGAAUAAGGCGUACGUGUACG
rnacentral:rRNA from 1 species